GUGGGGCUAAACUAUGGAAUCAGAUACCUGAAGAGAUACGCAAUUCGGUAUCGUAUAAUUCGUUCUGUAAAAAGCUAUCUUCCUCGACCUUAAUCUCGACUUAAAGUAGGCUAGUAGUUAAUUUUUUGUCUAAAUAGGUAUAUAAUUGUAUUUGUUAUGUAUGUAAUAUUAGAGCUAGUAUAUAAAUAAUAAUUUGUAAGUACACAUCCCUUUUGGAAAUCAGCUUUUGCUGAAAAGGCC